UCCUACGGGAGGCAGCAGUCGAGAAUCUUCGGCAAUGGGCGCAAGCCUGACCGAGCGACGCCGCGUGGAGGAUGAAGGCCUUCGGGUUGUAAACUCCUGUCGAGGGGGAGGAAGGCGCAAGCUUGACCUAUCCCUGGAGGAAGCACGGGCUAAGUUCGUGCCAGCAGCCGCGGUA
rnacentral:rRNA from 1 species